UGGGGAAUUUUGGACAAUGGGCGAAAGCCUGAUCCAGCAAUGCCGCGUGUGUGAAGAAGGCCUUCGGGUUGUAAGGCACUUUUGUCCGGAAAGAAAUGGCUCUGGUUAAUACCUGGGGUCGAUGACGGUACCGGAAGAAUAAGGACCGGCUAACUACGUGCCAGCAGCCGCGGUAAUACGUAGGGUCCAAGCGUUAAUCGGAAUUACUGGGCGUAAAGCGUGCGCAGGCGGUUGUGCAAGACCGAUGUGAAAUCCCCGAGCUUAACUUGGGAAUUGCAUUGGUGACUGCACGGCUAGAGUGUGUCAGAGGGGGGUAGAAUUCCACGUGUAGCAGUGAAAUGCGUAGAGAUGUGGAGGAAUACCGAUGGCGAAGGCAGCCCCCUGGGAAUAACACUGACGCUCAUGGCACGAAAGCGUGGGGAGCAAAACAGGAUUAGAUACCCUGGUAGUCCACGCCCUAAAACGAUGUCAACUAGUUGUUGGGAUUCAUUCCUUAGUAACG
rnacentral:rRNA from 1 species